UACCAGCACCCCGAGUGGUCGGGACGAUUAUUGGGCCUAAAGCAUCCGUAGCCGGUUCUACAAGUCUUCCGUUAAAUCCACCUGCUUAACAGAUGGGCUGCGGAGGAUACUAUAGAGCUAGGAGGCGGGAGAGGCAAGCGGUACUUAGUGGGUAGGGGUAAAAUCCUCUGAUCCAUUGAAGACCACCAGUGGCGAAGGCGGCUUGCCAAUACGCGCUCGACGGUGAGGGGUGAAAGCUGGGGGAGCAAACCGG
rnacentral:rRNA from 1 species